GUGUGCGGCGGCCUCCUCAUUGUGCAUGCUGUGUGCGCUCCUGUGUCCCACACAGCGUCCUGCAAUGUGGAGGUCGAGG
rnacentral:pre_miRNA from 1 species